AUUCUGCAGUUGGGGAAAGCGAGGCGCAGAGGAGGGUUAAGGGACCUCCUCACUGUCCCGGCCAGGGAGGGGCGGAUCCGCACUCCAACCCGCCUCUGUCAGGCUGGGCCUCUAAGCCGGGCCGUCCGCGCAGAGUCCGGGCGGAGCUGGGGGGUGUGGGGGGAAUGCUCGGGGCAGGAUCCGCUCCCGCGAUUAGCUCUGGGAGCGAAGUGGGAAGGGGCAGGGCGGGGCUGCAGAAGUCGGGACCCUCGAAUGGGAUCCGAGCCCGUGUGGCUACGCGAGGGGGAAGCCACCUGGGCUGCGUGGCUCCGGGGCGAACUGGGUGGGAUGGGAUUCGUAAAAAGAACUGGGUGGGUGAGAGGGAGCCAGUUUGAAACUCACUUUCCUCCUUUAUUUAUUUUAUUUUUAAAUUUGUGGCAGGGUGUUUGAAGAAAACAAGAAAACCACCCUCAUCCAGGAAACAACAACAACAAAGAGUUUUCUCUCUCUCUCUCUCUCAGUCUCCAGGGUCUCACUCCUGUCGCCUAAGGCUAGAGUGUAGUGCCGCGAUCUCGGCGCACCUGCGGCCUCGACUUCUCAGGCUCAAGCGAUCCUCCCACCUCAGCCUCCUGAAUAGCUGGGACUACAGGCGCAUUCCACCACGCCCGGCUAUUUUUUUUGUAUUUUUAGUAGAGACGGGGCUUCGUCCUGUUGUCGAGGUUGGUCUCGAACUCCUGGCCUUAAGCAAUCCACCCUCCUCGGCCUCCCAAAGUGCUGGGCCUCCUUCUUUUCUUGUUGAGGUUCCCAUACGUGACUCGCCCAAAGAGAGAUUCUCACCGGGUGGGUCUGAGCAGCGCCAGAAAGGGAAGGGAUACAGGGUGAGAGAGAUUUGGGGUAAAGGGAGAGGGAGGCAGAGGGGGAAGGGGGCCCCAGGCCGGUCAGUUCCAAGAGGCGAGCCCCGCCGGCCGAGCUCCACGGGCUGAGUCAACAGCGGCCCAGUUGCUUUGUAAUUUACAAGAGGGACUCCGAAUGGUACUUUGUAAUUUGGUGUCGGUUUACAAGGCAAAGGACUUCUGUUUCCUCACCUCACCAGGUCCUCAGUCACGGCCUGACCCCUUUUAAGAGAGGGACCUCAAGAGGGGAGCUGAAUUCCUUGAGCCCUCGCCUUUCAAUCAAGUUUUCAAGGCACGCUUUGGCCGGGCCCUCCCGGACUGGCUGUGCUGCUACCUCCAGAGGAAAUCAACGUCUGUACCGAACUCCUAACCUGUGAAGACCUGCUGUCCUCAUAAUUGCGGAGUGGGGCCAAGGAAGGCUACUCUUUCCCCUUUGCAGAUGAGGCAACUGAGGCAACUGAGCCGCAGAAAACUAACUGACCAAGAUCACCCAGCCAGUGGAACAAACAGCUCGAGCCCAGGCUCUCUGGCUCCUAUUCCCUCUGAAUAUUUAAUUUACUAAACUGUUUGAGCAGCCGUAGAUUCCCUUCACAAUCCGGUAAAAUCUAUAAUUACUCCUCCCCUUCCCCAAAAUGUACUUAUUUUCCCAUUCAAUAUCGGAGCUUCUCGGACUUCCUGAAGUUAGUCCCAGGAUAAAGAUCCUCUUUCUCCUCCCCCUUGCCCCGCCCCACGACCUCGCUUCCCAGUAAUUGCUGGGAUCCCGAUUCUCUGGAGGCAUUCCGGGCGGAUUGAUUGAGUGUAAUUCAACUGAGUUAUGAUUACAGCUGCUGGUUCCCCUGUGCCGCAGACGGGUGUGUAGGGAGGGUGGGGCACGUGGAGAUGGGCAAGAUGUCUGGAGAGAGCAGUGGGGCUGUUGUGCACGUUUUUGCUAGAGGUGAGGGUUGAGAGCUAGGGAGGAAACAAUUCCGAGCCCACCCCGCUGGGACCCACGGGCUGAGGUCCUCCAGGUACUCACAUCAGAAGGGGUGCAGGGGAAUAAAAUUUAAAAAAGC
rnacentral:lncRNA from 1 species